rnacentral:rRNA from 1 species
AUACGAAGGGGGCUAGCGUUGUUCGGAAUCACUGGGCGUAAAGCGCGCGUAGGUGGAUCAAUUAGUUGAGGGUGAAAUCCCGGGGCUCAACCUCGGAACUGCCUUCAAUACUGUUGAUCUUGAGACCGAGAGAGGUGAGUGGAAUUCCUAGUGUAGAGGUGAAAUUCGUAGAUAUUAGGAAGAACACCAGUGGCGAAGGCGGCUCACUGGCUCGGUACUGACGCUGAGGUGCGAAAGCGUGGGGAGCAAACAGAAUUAGAAACCCGAGUAGUCC